GGAGGCGGCAGGAGCGGUGACGGUGUCGCCGCGAAACCGGAUUGCCGGCACGGAGGGCUCACCGGCCUGGCCCCCGCGGCCCUCUCCCGCCUCGCUCCCAUUGUGUUGGAAUCAUAAAAAGAGAGAAUAUAACAACAACAAGAAAAAGACUAAAAUUGUGACAAAGACCCAACUGGGUAGGUUUACAUUUUAUUCUCAAUUGGGAUCUCUUGGUUAUAAACUCUU
rnacentral:lncRNA from 1 species